rnacentral:hammerhead_ribozyme from 1 species
GUCCAGAUGACGAGUCCCGAACAGGAUGAAAUGCACAUCCUGUAU